rnacentral:misc_RNA from 1 species
AAUUAUCAACUCCCUUUCUUUAUUGAAGGGUGAGCUUGGACUUGGGGAUUGCUGGUGCAAAUUGGCUUCCCUUGAAUGUAUUAGCUGGAAUUUGAUUCGCAGCAUAUAUGCGGUGUGAUAAUGUCGUCACCGUGUAGCUCGGAUUGUCUGGCUUCUAAUCGUCCUUCACGGGACAAUUUGAUCU